rnacentral:rRNA from 1 species
AUUGAACGCUGGCGGCAUGCUUUACACAUGCAAGUCGAACGGUAACAGCACUUCGGUGGCUGACGAGUGGCGAACGGGUGAGUAAUGUAUCGGAACGUGCCCAGUAGUGGGGGAUAACUACUCGAAAGAGUGGCUAAUACCGCAUGAGAUCUCUGGAUGAAAGCGGGGGACCGUAAGGCCUCGCGCGAUUGGAGCGGCCGAUGUCAGAUUAGGUAGUUGGUGGGGUAAAGGCUCACCAAGCCGACGAUCUGUAGCUGGUCUGAGAGGACGACCAGCCACACUGGGACUGAGACACGGCCCAGACUCCUACGGGAGGCAGCAGUGGGGAAUUUUGGACAAUGGGCGCAAGCCUGAUCCAGCAAUGCCGCGUGCAGGAAGAAGGCCUUCGGGUUGUAAACUGCUUUUGUACGGAACGAAACGGCUCUGGUUAAUACCUGGGGCUAAUGACGGUACCGUAAGAAUAAGCACCGGCUAACUACGUG